UACGGAGGGUGCAAGCGUUAUCCGGAUUCACUGGGUUUAAAGGGUGCGUAGGAGGGCAGGUAAGUCAGUGGUGAAAUCUCCGAGCUUAACUUGGAAACUGCCGUUGAUACUAUCUGCCUUGAAUAUUGUGGAGGUGAGCGGAAUAUGUCAUGUAGCGGUGAAAUGCUUAGAUAUGACAUAGAACACCAAUUGCGAAGGCAGCUCACUACACGAAUAUUGACACUGAGGCACGAAAGCGUGGGGAUCAAACAGG
rnacentral:rRNA from 1 species